AAAUUGAAGAGUUUGAUCAUGGCUCAGAUUGAACGCUGGCGGCAGGCCUAACACAUGCAAGUCGAACGGUAACAGGAAGCAGCUUGCUGCUUCGCUGACGAGUGGCGGACGGGUGAGUAAUGUCUGGGAAACUGCCUGAUGGAGGGGGAUAACUACUGGAAACGGUGGCUAAUACCGCAUAACGUCGCAAGACCAAAGAGGGGGACCUUCGGGCCUCUUGCCAUCAGAUGUGCCCAGAUGGGAUUAGCUUGUUGGUGAGGUAACGGCUCACCAAGGCGACGAUCCCUAGCUGGUCUGAGAGGAUGACCAGCCACACUGGAACUGAGACACGGUCCAGACUCCUACGGGAGGCAGCAGUGGGGAAUAUUGCACAAUGGGCGCAAGCCUGAUGCAGCCAUGCCGCGUGUAUGAAGAAGGCCUUCGGGUUGUAAAGUACUUUCAGCGGGGAGGAAGGUGUUGCGGUUAAUAACCGCAGCAAUUGACGUUACCCGCAGAAGAAGCACCGGCUAACUCCGUGCCAGCAGCCGCGGUAAUACGGAGGGUGCAAGCGUUAAUCGGAAUUACUGGGCGUAAAGCGCACGCAGGCGGUCUGUCAAGUCGGAUGUGAAAUCCCCGGGCUCAACC
rnacentral:rRNA from 2 species